GCGCGAUCUCGUCUCCCUGCCACCUCCGCCUCCCAGGUUCAAGCGAUUCUCCUGCCACAGCCUCCCGAGUAGCUGGGACUACAGGCAUCCGCCACCAUGCCCCGCUAAUUUUUGAAUUUUUAGUAGAGACGGGGUCUCACUAUGUUGACCAGGCUGGUCUCAAACUCCUAACCUCAAGUGAUCUGCCCGCCUUGGCCUCUCAGAAUGCUGGGAUUACAGGCAUGAGCCACUGUGCCCACCGUGCCUGGCAGAAGUUUGUUCGUUUUCAUCAUGUGGACAUACCAUAUCCAUUUGUGUUGUUUCUAGUGUCUGGCCAUUAUGAAUAAUGAUGCUGUGAACAUUCUUGUACGUGUCUUUUGGUGAACCUAUGCAUGCAUUUAUUUUUUGCAAUUAUGUGUGUAGGCAGAUUAUGCUAUGAUUUUCAUUUCAUGGUAGUGGAAUGGGGGAUGUCAUAAAAUACUAUCCAAAGGGGGCAUAGGUUCUAAGGGGAUGGUUGAGACCCUCCUGUUGGAAGCAGAUGCUUCUGUCCAUCGUCCAUUUGUCCCACAAGGAUUGUCCCAGCUGUCCUGUGCUCUGUGCUGGGAAAUGCCAUGAUGGUACUCUGUGGAGGGAGACUCUGGUUGAGCGUCUUGACCUAAGGUUGGAGGGCAGAGGCUGCAUUCUUAAUCCCACCACUAGAGGCUGGGCAUUCACAAGGGACUGAGGACCAGCAGCCCCCUUCUUCCAGGCAGGCUUCCUCUCAGGUUCCUGUCCCUCCAUCUCCCUUGGUAACUGGAGAACAUACUCUAUUGGGGGAUCUGGCCCGGCCGGCGGCGCGUGCGUG
rnacentral:lncRNA from 1 species